rnacentral:rRNA from 1 species
UACGGGGGGGGCAAGCGUUGUUCGGAAUUACUGGGCGUAAAGGGUUCGUAGGUGGCCAACUAAGUCAGACGUGAAAUCCCUCAGCUUAACUGGGGAACUGCGUCUGAGACUGGAUGGCUUGAGUGCAGGAGAGGAACGCGGAAUUCCAGGUGUAGCGGUGAAAUGCGUAGAUAUCUGGAGGAACACCGGUGGCGAAGGCGGCGUUCUGGACUGAAACUGACACUGAGGAACGAAAGCCAGGGGAGCAAACGGG